rnacentral:lncRNA from 1 species
GCUUAAGCAUAUCUCGAGCGAGUGAGUUUCCUUCCAUCAAGUUCUAAGCGAUCAAAUAAGGUCCUUGCUCUCGAGCCAAUGCCAAUACCAAUUGAGAGGGUCUAAACGAUGGAUUCAAAGGAGGUUAAGGGCAAAUGCAAUCUCUGAGCCAGUUGGAGAAAAAAGGGCAUCAAAGAAAGUGUCAGUUGGACUUUCCCUGCCAACCCUACCCAAAUUUCAUACCCAGCAGUUUUCGUGCCUCUAUUGAUAUUUCGUUCCACUCCUUACGUCGAGCGACUGUCGUUCCCGGGUCUUCACUAUUUGAUAGAAGCCCACAUACCCUCUCUUCUAUCCCCCCUCUACCCUACAGGUAUAGGAGGCCUCGGUAUCUCGAUUUGCAAAGAUGGAUACCUACUCCGCAUCUUAUC